rnacentral:tRNA from 1 species
GGAUUGUGGCUCAGUGGUAGAGUGCUCACCUAGCAUGCCUGGGACCUGGGUUCGAUUCUCAGCACCA